CUCAACUAAUUUCAUUUUUGCCGCGCUCGGACUUCACCAACACACUUGCCCCUUCAAGUUUUUACGGUUAGGGUUUCCCAUCUCUCUCUCAAAAAACCCUUUUUUUUUUCCAUUCUCCGCAAGGUUCUGUUUCAAUUCAGCAGCUUCAGUGCCAAGAUUUCCUAAGCUUGAAGAACCCUAACUUGGUUCUAUGUAGUUUUGGGCAUUAGAGGUCAGUUUUCCCAACUUUCAUUACUGAUUAUGUUCGUUUUCACUUCAAUUUUAUGGAGGUCUUCAAUAUUUGCUAUAAAAUUUUAGCAGGGAUUCAAUUUUUUUUUUUAAGAAGGAAAAAUUUCAACUUGAUAUUUUCUCAUGUUCACAUCUCAACCUGAACACUUGAGGGGCUCGUGGGCCUACCACAGAUCCCGUUUAGAUUAUCUUGAACUUCUCAUUUUGUAGAGCCCUCAAGGUAUAUCAUUCAUGAAAAAAUUAGUUUGAUCUUCGUAACCUUUUUACUUUUUCUCAUUUGUCUUAAAAAAAAUGGAUUAUCCAUUUUUUAGAGAUAAACAAGAUAAAAUGAAAAUGUUAUGAUUAUGAGAUCGACAUAAUUUUUUUUUUGGAUAAUAUACAUCGAGAUUCUUACAAAAUGACCGAUUCAUAUCAUCAAAACGGGAAUCGUGAUGGGCCUCACUGGCCCCUCAAGUUCUCUCAUAUUGAGAUUUGAACAUGAGAAGCCUAACCCUUUAUUUUAUUUAUUUAUUUUGGUUCAAAAUCUUCUUUUCCAAUUUUGCUAACAAUUCAUUGAAACAUACUACUGCCCAAAAUAUGGUAUCUGUUAUUGUAUAUGUGUGUGUGUUUUAGUUUUUAUAGUUAUGGAGCAAUAUUAUAAAAGAAAAUCGAGCAUAGAAUCUUCAUCUUCACCAAUUCAGGACGAGUCUCCAAAACAGAGUCGUAUAGAAAUUGACUUGCCAGACCUUCCUGAAGAUCCGGGGCUACGACCUCAGAUUACGUAUUAUCAUCGUAUCAUCUGAGAACAAGGUUUAACCCUUUAUGGUUUGAUGAAUUUGGUAGUUGGUUGGAGUAUAGCAUAGCUAAAGAUGCUGCAUUUUGCCUUUGUUGUUAUCUUUUUAAACCCAUCGUAGGAGACCAAGGAGGUGGUAAGUCUUUUGUUAUUGCUGGGUUUUCAAGUUGGAAGUAAAAAGAAAGGUUGCAAGGUCACGUGGGAGGUGUUAAUAGCUCUCACAAUCUAGCUUGGAGAAAAUGUCAGUACUUACUGAAUCAAAAGCAACAUAUUGAAACAGUUUUCUCCAAGCUAUUUGAUGAAGCCAAGAGUGAUUAUAGAGUUCGAUUGACUACAUCAAUUGAUUGCAUCCGACUUCUUUUGCGACAAGGGAUUCCAUUACAUGGGCAUGAUGAAUUUGAAGAUUCAAGCAACCAAGGAAACUUUCUUGAGCUUUUGAUGCUUCUUUCAGAUCAAAAAGAGAAUCAUAGAGCUGUUUUGUCAAAAGAUGUUCCUGAACACCUUAAGUUGACAGCACCUAGUAUUCAAAAGGAUAUUGUUAAUGCCAUUGUGGUUGAAACUACCAAUGCUAUUGUUAAAGAACUUGGUGAUGGCAUGUUCUCUAUUGUCUUUGAUAAAUCUUGGGAUGCAUCGAUGGAGGAACAAUUGAUUGUUUAUUUGAGAUAUGUGGAUGGGUAGGGGAUCUGUGAUUGAGCAUUUUUUGGGUAUUAAACAAAUUUCUAGUUCUAGUGUUCUUUCACCUAAGAAGGCGGUUGAAGACUUAUUUUCUACACAUGGCUUAAGCAUAUCUAGGUUGCGUGGACAAAGUUAUGAUGAGGUUAAUAAUAUUGAUAUGCAAGGUGAGUUCAACAAACUCACCACACUUAUAAUUGGAAGAGAAUGAAAGUGCGUAUUAUGUUCAUUGUUUUGCUCAUAAACUUGAAUUAACUCUUGUGGAGGCAACAAAGAGUAAUAUCCAUAUUGCAACACUCUUUUAUGUGGUUACUAAAGUAGUCAAAGUUGUUGGAGCUCCAUGUAAGCAUCAAGAUGUUCCUCGGGAGAAGCAAGUUGCUAAAGUUGUUCAAGCUUUAAAGAAUGAUGAGAUUACAAGUGGGCAAGGUCUCAAUUAAGAGGACACUCUUAUUCUUGCGGGAGAUAUAUGUUUGGGAUCACAUUAUGGAACUUUGCUGAGUUUGAUUAGUAUGUUUUCAGAUGUUCUUGAUGUGAUAGUAGAUGAUGGAUCCUAUUCCAAUGACAGAGCAGAAGCAUUCUACCUAUUUGACCCUUUACAAUCCUUUGAUUUUGGUUUAAUCUACAUUUGACGAAAUCCGUAUUGGGAAUUACAAAUGAUUUGUCACAAUCAUUACAAAGAAAGGAUCAACAAAUUGUGAAUGCGAUAUGACUAGUUGAAGUAUGCAAGCAACAACUCCAAAUGAUGAAAGAUAACAGGUGGAGUUCUUUGAUGGAUGAAGUUUCCUCUUUUUUUGAGAAAUGUUGUAUUGAUGUUCCUAAUAUGGAUGACUUGUAUGUACUUUAAGGGAGAUCAAGGUGUAUAGAUCAGGAAAUGACAAACUCUUAUCACUACUUCGUCAAGUUGUUCGAUUUUGUCAUUGAUAUGCAACUCCAAGAGCUGAAUAGUCAUUAUGAGGUGAACAUUGAAUUGCUUCUUUGUGUUGCAUUCCUAAAUCCAUCCGAUUCAUUUUUUGCUUUUGAUAUGACAAAAUUGAUCUAUUUUGCCCAAUUUUAUCUAAAAGACUUUUCAGCUAUUGAGCUUGCGGCACUUCCUAUUCAACUUGAGAAUUUUAUCAUUGAUAUGCGGUCUAGUGUUGAGUUUUCAAAUUUAAAAGGAAUCAGUGACCUUGCUCGAAAGAUGGUUGAUACUAGAAAAGAGAGAAUUUAUUUCCUGGUUUACAAACUGUUGACUUUGGCACUAUUUUACUUGUUGCGACUGCCACAAUAGAGAGGGCAUUUUCUGUGCCAAAGAUUGUAAAGAACAGGCUUCGCGAUGAAAAUGGUGAUCAGUUGAUGAAUGAUAGCAUGGUUGUGUAUAUUGAGGGAGAGAUUUGUAAUAGCAUUCCAAAUGAGGCUAUCAUGCAUAGUUUCCAAAAUAUGGAAAGUCUUUGAGGUUAUUUGUAAUUAAACUCGUAUCUUAUCAAUGAAUAUCUAAGUUUUUGCUUUGUUCUUAGU